AACAGUGAAAAUGGGAUUGUGAAGAGUAACUGGGCGUAGGGCCCAACCAGGAUAGCCCAACAGAGUUUGUUUUUUGUUCAUGUUUUCUCAGCACACCAAAAAUGGUGCAUAUGGGCCUUCAGGGGUGUAGGAAGCAAUUGGCCCAAGAGCAUUUCCUUGUAUUGAUCCAGUUAUUGUUAUUCAGAAUAAUUAAAUUAAAAGAAAAACAAAUAAUUAGAAAAAAGAAAAGUAAACGAAAGAUGGAAAUUAGGUUUGUACAUUGUGACCUUUGGGAUUAUUGAAGAGCGACGUUCUCCUUCCUCGCAAGACCAAACGGCGGCCGGAUACUCUCUUCACUCAACCGUCACCGCGAACAACGACGCCGCUUUUCGUUCCCAUCUUACUCGCGUUCUCACUCCGAUCUCUUCCUUCUCUAAUCCGAAAUCACACUCUCCAUGCUCGAUUCGACCGGAGAAGCUUAGGUGACGAUGAAGAUGAACUGAAGUCCAGAGGAUCUCACACUUUUAAGUCUUCGAUUCCUAGUCUCCGAAUCAAACUCCUUCAGCUCUUCUUUCCUUUUUUAUUGCGCUUCCUUUCUUGAAUCAGAUCGAAAGAUUAUUGAUGACGAGGGUUGCGAUGUUGCGAUUGAUGAUUGAAGGUUGCUGAUGCGAUGAUGAAGAAAGACGAGUUGAGAGUUGAAGAUUGAGGCGCCAAGGAGAUAGUUCAAGUUCAGAUUGUGAAAGAUGCAAGCUAUGAUGAUUUGAAGGUUGAAGGGAACGGUUAUGGUGAUUGAUGAAGAUUGGUUCUGGUUUUUGGUUAUGGUUGGAGGAUGGAAGAUGAUGAAGUUAUGAUGGUUAUGGUGAUGAAGUGAAGAGUUAGAGAUGGAGAUGAUGAAUGGUGGGGAAUUGUGGUUCUGAAAGAUGGUGGAGACUGAAAAUGGUGGUGAAGUGAGAAAAGUGAUGGAGAAUGGGAGAUUGAAGAGAGCUUGAAGGUGGUUCAGAGAUGGAAACAGAGUGGAGAUGAGCAAGAAUGGUGGAGGAAACUUUGAAUUGGGUGGAGUUCUGUUUAAAUAGAGAUUGAUGAUGAAGAGAAUUCCCGGUUAUGAGGUGAGUUCAACUCUUGAUUUCAGUUAAUUCCCUCUCCUCCUCCUUUUUCAAAAUUCUGUUAUCUGUUAGAGUUUUGUAACCGACUUUGGGAAGUUAGUUAGGGUUGUUAGUAAGUUACAAGGUUGUUAGAGGUGGUUAAAUCAGUUAGAGAAAUUAGGGAGAGGUUAGAAUUCUGUUGUAACUGUUAGAAGUACUAGGUAGUUAUGAUUCAGUUAGUGAUGGUUGGAAGUUGGUUAUAACAGGUUGUUAGAAACUGUUAGGGGAAAUUAGAUUUCUGUUUUGGUGGUUGGUAUUUGAAAGUUUGUUACAUAAAGUUAGUUAUGCAAUUGGAAAUUGGUUGAAGGGUUUUGUUAGUUUUUUUGACAGUUGGGAAAGGUUUGUAAAACAGUUAGAGGGUUAGGACUAGUUGAGUUUAGGGAAAUUCAGAGUUGGGUAUCCUGAAACAGAACUCUUCUUCGGACCGAUACCGGUUAUGUGAUGCGUAUGGCUGCCCUGAAAUUGUUUGUGUGGUAAGACAUUGGUGUUAAACUGCAUCUUGAUUUGAAUUCUUUACUUUUUGAGUUUGCAGUUAGUCGCAUUCAGUAUGUGAGCUUGUACUGUCGUGACGAUAUAGCAUGUGUACCACAAUACUUGCUGAACCGUUUCUGCUGUCAUGAUGUGUUCAGAGCCAUUUGAAGGCAUGGUACAUUUUGUUAGGAUAGGUAUCGCUACUGGCUUUUGCAUACGUAGAGUUAGGAGAAUUUGCAUAUAGUUUAAUGAAAUACAAAGAUACCGUAGCAGAAAGAAAGUCCAUCUUCAAACUUGAUCACAAAACUGAACAGGACAAGUACAGUCAAAGAACCCAUUUCUUGAACUAAUGUUCCAAUUGCUAGGUGUUUUCUACAUGUGGCAGUAAUGGUUAGGCAAUAGAAUUUGAAUGGUAUGUUAAUGUGAUACAUGACAUGGGUUGUUUCUUUGGAUUGACUUGGUGAUACUUUUGUAUUUUAUGAAUGGCAGGUUGCAAAUUGGCAAGAGCGUGAGGUGCGGAUUGCGGCACAUAUGGAGUUACUUGGCUCAUGAAAAUAAUUUGGAGAUAACUUGAAGAACUGAAGAUUUAGGGACAGUAGGCUUCUAGGAAAUUUGUUUGACUUUUGGUCAACAUGGAUUUUCAUGUAGCUUCCUGUUCCCUUUUGUAACAGAACAGUUUUGUAAUUGAAUUCCUUGUAGUAUGUGAUUGAACUUGAGUCUGACUUUGUAUUUCAAAUAAUAAUAAAAUGAAUGAUUUCCCUUCUUUGUUGAAUAAAA